CACUCCUGCGGGAGGCAGCAGUAGGGAAUCUUCCACAAUGGGUGCAAACCUGAUGGAGCAAUGCCGCGUGAGUGAAGAAGGUCUUCGGAUCGUAAAGCUCUGUUGUUAGAGAAGAACACGUGCUAGGUAACUACUAGCGCCUUGACGGUAUCUAACCAGAAAGUCACGGCUAACUACGUGCCAGCAGCCGCGGUAAUACGUAGGUGACAAGCGUUGUCCGGAUUUAUUGGGCGUAAAGGGAGCGCAGGCGGUCUGUUUAGUCUAAUGUGAAAGCCCACGGCUUAACCGUGGAACGGCAUUGGAAACUGACAGACUUGAAUGUAGAAGAGGAAAAUGGAAUUCCAAGUGUAGCGGUGGAAUGCGUAGAUAUUUGGAGGAACACCAGUGGCGAAGGCGAUUUUCUGGUCUAACAUUGACGCUGAGGCUCGAAAGCGUGGGGAGCGAACAGGAUUAGAUACCCGAGUAGUCCC
rnacentral:rRNA from 1 species